GCAUGAACAGCGGAUUCUGCCGUGGGGUUUUCCAGACUCCCACUUGCACCUCCGGCUGCCUCCGCUUCCCUUUUACCUGCAAAACGCUCGGCGUCGGAGGCACCGGGCAGAGAGGCGGGUGAGCGCGGUCAGUCCACGCCCUGGCUUAGCAGCACGGCUGGGACCGGCAGGGACAACAAGCGAGGCCGCCGUGCAGAUGCGUCGAACACAGAGGGGCUGGCGGCAGACGGUCGCCGAGUUUUUCCCUUCGUGCUCCUCCGGCCUUGACCGGGGAGCUGCCGAUGGGGCCGGCGGGGCUGGCUCUGCUGCCUCCCGCGGCCCGCUGGCCUCCCGGCUUGCAUGCUCCCAGCGCUGGGCAAACACUGCUUGUCUGAGUUUCAUUGUCUGUGCUAUCUCUGCCCUCGCAGCGCGGUUAUCUGCAGCGCAUAUAACACGCCAGCUCCGCCGUGAAGCUGCCCGUGUUCAUGGCUUUGUCACGGAGGACUCUCUGCUGUGACCUUUCCAGCGUGGCGUUGGCAGUAGGAGCAGGAGUGGGACCGUGCCGCGCCGGCGGAUCAGGAGGGAGAAGGCAGCGAUGCAAACACCAAAAUUUCCAAGCGUCACGCUGCCGAAACACACCAUCUCUCCUUUCAAAAAGUCUGCUAAAUAAGGAUGCACUCUGCACCAUUUCGGGUGGAUCUUCUGCAGCGUGGUCGGACCCGUCCUGGCUGAAGGGGAAGAAGAGCCGGUGAGCGCUGCCCUCUCCCCUUUAGCUGGGCAGCCACCGAGGCUCUGGAGUGUCCUUCCCUGGAGAUGUCCAAAAGCCGUCUGGAGAUGGCAACUGGGCAACGUGCUCUAGGUGACCCUGCUUGAGCAGGGGGUUGGACGAGGCGAUCUCAGAGGUCCUUCCAGCCUCGGCCCUUCUGUGAAACCUCUUCCCCGGCAGCAGAGGGAAAGCGGGUGGUCAGAGAGCGCUGCUCGACCCCAGACUCCGCAGAAACGCCGCGCGAUUUCCAGGCCAUUGAGACUGAGGGUAUCACACCAGUCAGGGCACUUUUUCUCCUUUUUCCAUUCCUUUUCUGUUUUGUUUGUUUACACUGUUUGUUGCUGUUUCCUUUUAAAUAAUAAGCGCCCCGUUACCCAGCAGAGCCAGGAAAACCAAACUCGUGUGACCGAGACACGAAAGCCUGGUUCCUCUGCAGGACUUUUGGUGUGAAUCGCAGUGGCAUUUUGCUGCAGAGAGCUGCCAGGAGGAGGACCAGGCGGCAGCCUGCUUCAGCUGCGUCUGUGAUUCCUUCGUUAUGAUUCACCUUCCACAAAUAUCCUAAUAAACAAGCUUGCUGGCAGGAAGAUCCUGGCGAGAGGCAAAAGGCUGCAAAAAGUCACUGAACUCUCGCUUUGAGCAGUAAAAGUCCUUCCUGACCGUCCGAUCGUCGAAGAUGGCCUGGCCUAAUUCGGGAAAGCGAAGCGAGGCCAGUCCCGCCGGCAAAGCGAGCACCACGCUUGCAGGCGCGGGAGAGGGCAGGCCGCACGCAUGCCGCGGCCCAGCAGCAGCUUUUAGGGAAGACCGGAAAGAAAAUGCUCCAUAGCAGACACUUGGAGGGAAAAAAAUGUUUGGAGCCAAGUCAGGAACAGAAACAAGCCCACAGCAGAGAAAUCCUUCUCUCUCUCGGGGACAGACCCCAAGGAGCUUUUGCACGUAACGGGGUUGUGCACAGCAGUGUCCGGCCUCGGCAGCCGCCUCUCCCGACCCGCAGCCCCGUCCCACCACAAAUAUUCACACCGCUCGCUUGGCACGUCUCCGGGGAAUGCAUAUUUUUUCCCUCUGCACGCUUUAUGAAGUCUUACUCAGAGAAGCAUCUUUAAAUGCCGUUCCAAAAUUCUCUUUAUUUUUGCUGAUCCUGAAAUUUGGAAGAAGACGACAAUGCUGCUACGACUUUGUCACUGCAACAGUGAUUUCUCACUCAUCAGUCGUUUCUGCAGCCUCUUCUUUCUUGGUAGAUUGUACUUUCGUAAGAAGGCAACUAAUUUCCCUGACUGUAUAUCAGAGAAUUCAGUAGCUCCGUGGAUAUAUAGUGUUGUUUUUUACUUGUGCUGCAUUAAUAAAUCCCUAGAAUUUCUGUGCAUAUUAUAUAAAUCAAGGGAAAUAGCAUUUUUAUUGCAU